GGAAGGUGGGGAUGACGUCAAGUCAUCAUGGCCCUUACGGCCAGGGCUACACACGUGCUACAAUGGUCGGUACAAAGGGUUGCCAAGCCGCGAGGUGGAGCUAAUCCCAUAAAACCGAUCGUAGUCCGGAUCGCAGUCUGCAACUCGACUGCGUGAAGUCGGAAUCGCUAGUAAUCGUGAAUCAGAACGUCACGGUGAAUACGUUCCCGGGCCUUGUACACACCGCCCGUCACACCAUGGGAGUGGGUUGCUCCAGAAGUAGCUAGUCUAACCCUCGGGAGGACGGUUACCACGGAGUGAUUCAUGACUGGGGUGAAGUCGUAACAAGGUAGCCGUAGGGGAACCUGCGGCUGGAUCACCUCCUUA
rnacentral:ncRNA from 1 species